UACGGAGGGGGCUAGCGUUGUUCGGAAUUACUGGGCGUAAAGCGCACGUAGGCGGACCGGAAAGUCAGAGGUGAAAUCCCAGGGCUCAACCUUGGAACUGCCUUUGAAACUAUCGGUCUGGAGUUCGAGAGAGGUGAGUGGAAUUCCGAGUGUAGAGGUGAAAUUCGUAGAUAUUCGGAGGAACACCAGUGGCGAAGGCGGCUCACUGGCUCGAUACUGACGCUGAGGUGCGAAAGCGUGGGGAGCAAACAGG
rnacentral:rRNA from 2 species